rnacentral:rRNA from 1 species
GACGAACGCUGGCGGCGUGCUUAACACAUGCAAGUCGAACGCUGAGGCCUAGCUUUUGUUGGGUGGAUGAGUGGCGAACGGGUGAGUAACACGUGAGUAACCUGCCCCCUUCUUUGGGAUAACGCCCGGAAACGGGUGCUAAUACUGGAUACUCACUGAUCUUCGCAUGGGGGUUGGUGGAAAGGUUUUUUCUGGUGGGGGAUGGGCUCGCGGCCUAUCAGCUUGUUGGUGGGGUGAUGGCCUACCAAGGCUUUGACGGGUAGCCGGCCUGAGAGGGUGACCGGUCACAUUGGGACUGAGAUACGGCCCAGACUCCUACGGGAGGCAGCAGUGGGGAAUAUUGCACAAUGGGCGAAAGCCUGAUGCAGCGACGCCGCGUGAGGGAUGGAGGCCUUCGGGUUGUAAACCUCUUUCGCUCAUGGUCAAGCCGCAACAUUGGUUGUGGUGAGGGUAGUGGGUAAAGAAGCGCCGGCUAACUACGUGCCAGCAGCCGCGGUAAUACGUAGGGCGCGAGCGUUGUCCGGAAUUAUUGGGCGUAAAGGGCUUGUAGGCGGUUGGUCGCGUCUGCCGUGAAAUCCUCUGGCUUAACUGGGGGCGUGCGGUGGGUACGGGCUGACUUGAGUGCGGUAGGGGAGACUGGAACUCCUGGUGUAGCGGUGGAAUGCGCAGAUAUCAGGAAGAACACCGGUGGCGAAGGCGGGUCUCUGGGCCGUUACUGACGCUGAGGAGCGAAAGCGUGGGGAGCGAACAGG